GAAGAGAAAAUAAGAGAAAGUCGAAGGAGAAAAUGUUAAGAAUUAAUUAACCAACCCGUUUUUGGAAGGGACAGUGAUUAGUAAUAUUGGUAUAACUUCUUGUGUACAGAUUUGUUUCGAGUGAUUUAAUAUGUUUUGGAAAGGUAUUUCGUGGCUCUAUAUCUUUCAUUCAGACUCCAAAAUCCAGUUGUACUUGUAUAAGUUCGAAAAAUGGUAAUGAAGUGUAGAGGAGGUUCUACUCAGAUUUGGUUUUGGAAAUUCUACACGGACAGCUGGCGUAAAUCCUGUUUCCCUCCAUUACCCCUUCGAAACGAAGCGACAAGGUGAAACAGUAAACUGUCCAGAUUUCACAUUUUGGAUAGUUUUGGCGAGUUUGACGAGUUUAACGUAAGGUUCAGAAGACGACGAGACGAGCAGGAUAAAGG